rnacentral:rRNA from 1 species
AGAGUUUGAUCAUGGCUCAGAACGAACGCUGGCGGCGUGUCUUAAGCAUGCAAGUCGGACGGCAAGGCGGGGCAACCCGCCCUAGAGUGGCGGACUGGUGAGUAACACGUGGGUGAUCUACCCUUGGUUUGGGGAUAGCUCGUGGAAACACGGGGUAAUACCGAAUACGUUCUUACGGCUACGGCUGUAAGAGGAAAGGCGCUAAGGCGCCGACCGAGGAUGAGCCCGCGUCCCAUUAGCUAGUUGGUGAGGUAAUGGCCCACCAAGGCGAUGAUGGGUAGGCGGCCUGAGAGGGUGUACGCCCACAUUGGGACUGAGAUACGGCCCAAACUCCUACGGGAGGCAGCAGCUAAGAAUAUUCCGCAAUGGACGAAAGUCUGACGGAGCGACGCCGCGUGGAUGAAGAAGGCCGAAAGGUUGUAAAAUUCUUUUGUCGGGGAAGAAUAACCAUGGGAGGGAAUGCCCGUGGGAUGACAUGAACCGGCGAAUAAGCCCCGGCUAACUACGUGCCAGCAGCCGCGGUAACACGUAGGGGGCGAGCGUUGUUCGGAAUUACUGGGCGUAAAGGGCAUGUAGGCGGUUUUGUAAGACUGGCGUGAAAGGCUGCAGCUUAACUGUAGCAUGGCGCUGGUAACUACAAGACUUGAGUCACGGAGAGGGAGCUAGAAUUCCAGGUGUAGGGGUGAAAUCUGUAGAUAUCUGGAAGAAUACCAGUGGCGAAGGCGAGCUUCUGGCCGAUGACUGACGCUGAGGUGCGAAAGCGUGGGUAGCAAACAGGAUUAGAUACCCUGGUAGUCCACGCGGUAAACGAUGCACACUAGGUGCUGGGGCGGACGCUUCAGUGCCGGAGUUAACGUGGUAAGUGUGCCGCCUGGGGAGUAUGCUCGCAAGGGUGAAACUCAAAUGAAUUGACGG